rnacentral:rRNA from 1 species
UAAGCGAGCGCAGGCGGUUUCUUAAGUCUGAUGUGAAAGCCCCGGGCUCAACCGGGGAGGGGCAUUGGAAACUGGGAGACUUGAGUGCAGAAGAGGAAAGUGGAAUUCCAUGUGUAGCGGUGGAAUGCGUAGAUAUAUGGAAGAACACCAGUGGCGAAGGCGGCUCUCUGGUCUGUAACUGACGUUGAGGCUCGAAAGUGUGGGGAGCAAACAGGAUUAGAUACCCUGGUAGUCCACGCCGUAAACGAUGAGUGCUAAGUGUUGGAGGGUUUCCGCCCUUCAGUGCUGCAGCUAACGCAUUAAGCACUCCGCCUGGGGAGUACGACCGCAAGGUUGAAACUCAAAGGAAUUGACGGGGGCCCGCACAAGCGGUGGAGCAUGUGGUUUAAUUCGAAGCAACGCGAAGAACCUUACCAGGUCUUGACAUCCUUUGACCACUUUAGAGAUAGAGCUUU